UGACCGCUGGCGGCGUGCCUAAUACAUGCACGUCGAGCGAACGGACGCGAAGCUUGCUUUUCUGAUGUUAGCGGCGGACGGGUGAGUAACACGUGGAUAACCUACCUAUAAGACUGGGAUAACUUCGGGAAACCGGAGCUAAUACCGGAUAAUAUUUUGAACCGCAUGGUUCAAAAGUGAAAGACGGUCUUGCUGUCACUUAUAGAUGGAUCCGCGCUGCAUUAGCUAGUUGGUAAGGUAACGGCUUACCAAGGCAACGAUGCAUAGCCGACCUGAGAGGGUGAUCGGCCACACUGGAACUGAGACACGGUCCAGACUCCUACGGGAGGCAGCAGUAGGGAAUCUUCCGCAAUGGGCGAAAGCCUGACGGAGCAACGCCGCGUGAGUGAUGAAGGUCUUCGGAUCGUAAAACUCUGUUAUUAGGGAAGAACAUAUGUGUAAGUAACUGUGCACAUCUUGACGGUACCUAAUCAGAAAGCCACGGCUAACUACGUG
rnacentral:rRNA from 1 species